GUACGUUCAGUGCCACUCAUCACCAUGGCACAGAGCAGCCCUGGGCAGACUGCGGCUGCAUGGCCAUGGACGUGAGCGUGAAGGAAGGACCCUUCCCACGCAGCUGCCCAGGUCACACAGCUGGACUUGGACCCAAGGAGGCAGCAAUUAAAGGUUCAAGCGUGCCCUGGGGACCCGCGAGAGGAGACAGAGAGUCAGUACUGGCGGUGGUAUCCAGCUUUCACCUCUAGCUUCCCCGCAGGAGGCGAAGUCCCUGUGUGACUGCGUUUCCGAGAGGCUGGGAUGGCAGCAGUGGGCUGGGAGGCCUGUGCAGGGCCCUGACUGUGGCACAGGCGGCCUGCGGGCCAGGAGUCUACCCUCCGGAAUGCCUCUGAAGACCAAGUCCCGGGCCUGGCCCCCAGCUUUGUGUGCCCUCCCACUACAGAAGCUGACGGCCUCUCUGUACGCCAGCAAGGAGACCCUGAGUGUGGCUCUCGGCCCUUCUGUAUCCUUUACUAUAGCGUCAACCAAGCACAGCACUAGCCAUUCAGUCCCGUCGUUCUUCCUGCUGAGUCACCGGCUUCCCACCGUGUGCCGGACCGAUCGCACCGGCUCGCGCCCGCCCGCGCACGGCCGCCGUCCCCCGCGAGGCCGCGCCCAGCGCCCGGCUCUCCGAGCGCCCCUCCUCGCCAGGGCCGCGGGCGCGGCGGAGGCGGAGCUGGCCAGGCUCAGGGCCAUUCGGCUGGGCGGCCCCCCUGCCCCACGGCGGGCGCAGCAGCCCCCUCAGGUGCAAGGGCGCCACCUGCGCACUCCGGUGAGUGACCACGGAGCGCAGGUGUCACAGCAAGGAAGCACACCCACCUUGGAACCGAGUAACGAGGUCUGCGGCCACCUGGGAGUCCUCCCAUUUCUCUACUCAGCUCGUCUGGCCCUCAGUUCGGAACCUGUCUGGGUCCCCAUCAAGCAAAAGGGACGGGAGGGGCCCCGCCCCCCACGCGGCCUCUUUCCAGGCCAACUGGACGAGGGCGAGCGCCGGCCCGGCGGGUCAGCCGGCUUCCCACUCAGGCAUCCGGCAUCUCGAAGCCUCCGGCGGGAGCCUGGGCUCCUGUUCCUCCCUCUGAGGACCGGGAGACCCCAGAGCCCGCGCGCCGGACCUGCUUCCCCCACGGGAUCGCGUGGGCGGCGGGGCGGGGCGGGGCCUGGGCGCCACACAGUCCCGCGCCGUGACCCGGUCGGGGCGGGCUUAGAAGCACCCCUCGGCUCGCGGCCGCCCGCAGGUGCGAGCAGCCGGGGACCUGGAACCCCGCGGGGCGGGGAGAGGGCUGGUCCGCUACGCCCAGUUGGCGGGCGGUCAGGUCCUGUCUCACGCCGGCCGGAAUCUGUUAGAGGCAGCACGGAGGACCCUGGGGGCGCCUCGACCCCUGAGAGAAGGGUCUUUAUGACCAGGGCUGGAAGGCAGCCCUGCCAUGAGGACCAGCCUGAAGCCCGCACAUCUUUUAGCUUGGACUACCGCGCUGGAAAGAUGCAGCCGCGCUCUCUGAACCUUGUUUUGUAGAGCGAGUAGGUUCUCCACCUUCUCUUCUCCCCCAGCGGCAUCAGGCGGCUGAUCAAACUACCAAUGAAGAAACGUCUUCCCUGUGCCAGGCAGCCCCGCCGAGCCCUUACUUCCCUUGUCAUUUCCUCCCUACGAUCUUACUGUAGGCUUUUGCACGCGCCUCAUUUCCAUGUCCCAUCAAUGCAGCUUCCUCUUCCUGGGACACUCUUCCCAACUUCAUUAUCUUCAUUAAGAUAUCUUUACAUAUUCAUUCCAAGACCUUGAAAGCAGACGCCUCGUGUACGCUUCUUAGAAUAAAAACAUUUGUAGCUAGUGUCUCCGGUGGUCUCUGUAAUGAUUCUGCACAAAAUGUGAUGGCACGUGGAGCAGGGUUUAUCUCAGCAGAGAGUGGAUGACUGUGCAUGAGCCCC
rnacentral:lncRNA from 1 species